CAGCAGCCGCGGUAAUACAGAGGAUGCAAGCGUUAUCCGGAAUGAUUGGGCGUAAAGUGUCUGUGGGUGGCUUUUCAAGUCCGCCGUCAAAUCCCAGGGCUCAACCCUGGACAGGUGGUGGAAACUACCAAGCUGGAGUAUGGUAGGGGCAGAGGGAAUUUCCGGUGGAGCGGUGAAAUGCAUUGAGAUCGGAAAGAACACCAACGGCGAAAGCACUCUGCUGGGCCGACAUUGACACUGAGAGACGAAAGGUAGGGGAGCAAAUGGGAUUAGAUACCCGCGUAGUCCCUGUCUCUUAUAA
rnacentral:rRNA from 1 species